CCUACGGGUGGCAGCAGUGGGGAAUAUUGCACAAUGGGGGAAACUCUGAUGCAGCGACGCCGCGUGAGUGAAGAAGUCUUUCGGUACGUAAAGCUCUAUCAGCAGGGAAGAAAAACCGGCCUUAGGGCCGCCAGACGGUACCUGACUAAGAAGCCCCGGCUAACUACGUGCCAGCAGCCGCGGGAUAACGGAGGGGGCAAGCGUUAUCCGGAUUUACUGGGUGUAAAGGGAGCGUAGACGGCGGCGUAAGGCUGGUGUGAAAUGCCGGGGCGCAACCCCGGAACUGCUUUUGAAACUGUGCAGCUGGAGUGCAGGAGAGGUAAGCGGAAUUCCUGGUGUAGCGGUGAAAUGCGUAGAUAUUAGGAGGAACGCCGGUGGCGAAGGCGGCUUACUGGACUGUAACUGACGUUGAGGCUCGAAAGCGUGGGGAGCAAACAGGAUUAGAUACCCUUGUAGUC
rnacentral:rRNA from 1 species